GGGUUGUGAGGUUAAGCGACUAAGCGUACACGGUGGAUGCCCUGGCAGUCAGAGGCGAUGAAGGACGUGCUAAUCUGCGAAAAGCGUCGGUAAGGUGAUAUGAACCGUUAUAGCCGGCGAUGUCCGAAUGGGGAAACCCAGUGUGAUUCGUCACACUAUCGUUAACUGAAUACAUAGGUUAACGAGGCGAACCGGGGGAACUGAAACAUCUAAGUACCCCGAGGAAAAGAAAUCAACCGAGAUUCCCCCAGUAGCGGCGAGCGAACGGGGAGCAGCCCAGAGUCUGAAUCAGCUUGUGUGUUAGUGGAACGGUCUGGAAAGUCCGACGGUACAGGGUGAUAGUCCCGUACACCAAAAUGCACAGGCUGUGAACUCGAAGAGUAGGGCGGGACACGUGGUAUCCUGUCUGAAUAUGGGGGGACCAUCCUCCAAGGCUAAAUACUCCUGACUGACCGAUAGUGAACCAGUACCGUGAGGGAAAGGCGAAAAGAACCCCGGCGAGGGGAGUGAAAAAGAACCUGAAACCGUGUACGUACAAGCAGUGGGAGCACCUUCGGGUGUGACUGCGUACCUUUUGUAUAAUGGGUCAGCGACUUAUAUUCUGUAGCAAGGUUAACCGUAUAGGGGAGCCGCAGGGAAACCGAGUCUUAACUGGGCGUUAAGUUGCAGGGUAUAGACCCGAAACCCGGUGAUCUAGCCAUGGGCAGGUUGAAGGUUGGGUAACACUAACUGGAGGACCGAACCGACUAAUGUUGAAAAAUUAGCGGAUGACUUGUGGCUGGGGGUGAAAGGCCAAUCAAACCGGGAGAUAGCUGGUUCUCCCCGAAAGCUAUUUAGGUAGCGCCUCGUGAAUUCAUCUUCGGGGGUAGAGCACUGUUUCGGCUAGGGGGUCAUCCCGACUUACCAACCCGAUGCAAACUACGAAUACCGAAGAAUGUUAUCACGGGAGACACACGGCGGGUGCUAACGUCCGUCGUGAAGAGGGAAACAACCCAGACCGCCAGCUAAGGUCCCAAAGUCAUGGUUAAGUGGGAAACGAUGUGGGAAGGCACAGACAGCCAGGAUGUUGGCUUAGAAGCAGCCAUCAUUUAAAGAAAGCGUAAUAGCUCACUGGUCGAGUCGGCCUGCGCGGAAGAUGUAACGGGGCUAAACCAUGCACCGAAGCUGCGGCAGCGACACUAUGUGUUGUUGGGUAGGGGAGCGUUCUGUAAGCCUGCGAAGGUGUGCUGUGAGGCAUGCUGGAGGUAUCAGAAGUGCGAAUGCUGACAUAAGUAACGAUAAAGCGGGUGAAAAGCCCGCUCGCCGGAAGACCAAGGGUUCCUGUCCAACGUUAAUCGGGGCAGGGUGAGUCGACCCCUAAGGCGAGGCCGAAAGGCGUAGUCGAUGGGAAACAGGUUAAUAUUCCUGUACUUGGUGUUACUGCGAAGGGGGGACGGAGAAGGCUAUGUUAGCCGGGCGACGGUUGUCCCGGUUUAAGCAUGUAGGCUGGUUGUCCAGGCAAAUCCGGAUAAUCAAGGCUGAGGUGUGAUGACGAGGCACUACGGUGCUGAAGUAACAAAUGCCCUGCUUCCAGGAAAAGCCUCUAAGCAUCAGGUAACAUUAAAUCGUACCCCAAACCGACACAGGUGGUCAGGUAGAGAAUACCAAGGCGCUUGAGAGAACUCGGGUGAAGGAACUAGGCAAAAUGGUGCCGUAACUUCGGGAGAAGGCACGCUGGUGUGUAGGUGAAGUCCCUGCGGAUGGAGCUGAGACCAGUCGAAGAUACCAGCUGGCUGCAACUGUUUAUUAAAAACACAGCACUGUGCAAACACGAAAGUGGACGUAUACGGUGUGACGCCUGCCCGGUGCCGGAAGGUUAAUUGAUGGGGUUAUCCGUAAGGAGAAGCUCUUGAUCGAAGCCCCGGUAAACGGCGGCCGUAACUAUAACGGUCCUAAGGUAGCGAAAUUCCUUGUCGGGUAAGUUCCGACCUGCACGAAUGGCGUAAUGAUGGCCAGGCUGUCUCCACCCGAGACUCAGUGAAAUUGAACUCGCUGUGAAGAUGCAGUGUACCCGCGGCAAGACGGAAAGACCCCGUGAACCUUUACUAUAGCUUGACACUGAACAUUGAGCCUUGAUGUGUAGGAUAGGUGGGAGGCUUUGAAGCGUGGACGCCAGUCUGCGUGGAGCCAACCUUGAAAUACCACCCUUUAAUGUUUGAUGUUCUAACGUUGGCCCCUGACCGGGGUUGCGGACAGUGUCUGGUGGGUAGUUUGACUGGGGCGGUCUCCUCCCAAAGCGUAACGGAGGAGCACGAAGGUUAGCUAAUCCUGGUCGGACAUCAGGAGGUUAGUGCAAUGGCAUAAGCUAGCUUGACUGCGAGCGUGACGGCGCGAGCAGGUGCGAAAGCAGGUCAUAGUGAUCCGGUGGUUCUGAAUGGAAGGGCCAUCGCUCAACGGAUAAAAGGUACUCCGGGGAUAACAGGCUGAUACCGCCCAAGAGUUCAUAUCGACGGCGGUGUUUGGCACCUCGAUGUCGGCUCAUCACAUCCUGGGGCUGAAGUAGGUCCCAAGGGUAUGGCUGUUCGCCAUUUAAAGUGGUACGCGAGCUGGGUUUAGAACGUCGUGAGACAGUUCGGUCCCUAUCUGCCGUGGGCGCUGGAGAAUUGAGGGGGGCUGCUCCUAGUACGAGAGGACCGGAGUGGACGCAUCACUGGUGUUCGGGUUGUCAUGCCAAUGGCACUGCCCGGUAGCUAAAUGCGGAAGAGAUAAGUGCUGAAAGCAUCUAAGCACGAAACUUGCCCCGAGAUGAGUUCUCCCUGAGACUUUAAGUCUCCUGAAGGAACGUUAAAGACGAUGACGUUGAUAGGCCGGGUGUGUAAGCGCAGCGAUGCGUUGAGCUAACCGGUACUAAUGAACCGUGAGGCUUAACCUUACAACGCCGAAG
rnacentral:rRNA from 1 species